UUAUUGAAUUGGAGAAAUGGUGACGCCUUAUCGGGCAGCCCUGGACUAGGAGUGGCAUGAACUGAAGAAUAUCUACGGCCAACAACCUGCUUUUGCUUGGUCAUUUCCUCAAACAGCCGCCAAGGACUCUGCAUUUCACUUGGCAGUGUUCAGCAAAAGUGAAGAACCGCUUAAAGGUUCACUUGAAAUUGCUGAAGAUCAUGAUAUGGCAAAGGAUCGCUCUGGGGAUAAGAAUAUCUACGGAAACACGGCUCUUCAUGAGGCUACCGCCCAUGGUAACAUUAAGGCCGUAAAGCUAUUGGUGAAAUACGAUGAGCAGCUCCUUGAGGAUAUAGAUGAAGAAGGCGAAACCCCGCUGUUUAAAGCUGCUGCAUUUGGGCAAACAGAGGUGGUCAAAUAUUUAGUUGAAGAAUGUCCUAGUCGUACAAAGCCGAAAGACAUUGCGAAUAUUCACCGCCACAGCAAAAAAACCUGGUGCCCUAGAACCUGAGGCCUCCAUUCUGCAUGCUGCCAUACAAGGAGAGCACUUUGAAACGGCUUCAUUGUUACUGGAACUGGAUGACUCGUUAGCAACAUUAGAGGACGGAAAUGGCAUGACCAAUCUUUAACUGCUGGCUACUAUGCCCUCUGCUUUCAGAAGUAGAUACCGAAUGAGCAUAUUGACAAGACUCCUCUACUUUUGUCCUCUGAUUGAGGCAAAACGAAGAAUAGGUUUGCCAAUACCGAGAAGAAUCUUGGAGGAUAAGAGAAAGCAUAAACUUGCUUUUGAACUCACCCGAAACCUAAUAGAACUAGAUACUACGUGGCAGCAGAUUAUGGAACUAGGAAAUAUUCUAGCU